rnacentral:rRNA from 1 species
AUUGAACGCUAGCGGGAUGCUUUACACAUGCAAGUCGCACGAGUGGAGGACGGGUGAGUAAUAUAUCGGAACGUGCCCAGUAGCGGGGGAUCACUACUCGAAAGAGUGGCUAAUACCGCAUAACAUUGGAGAGGCAGAGAUCGGAUUAGCUAGUUGGUGGGGUAAAGUCUCACCAAGGAAACGCUCCGUAGAUGGUUUGAGAGGAAGACCAGCCACACUGGGACUGAGACACGGUCCAGACUCCGACGGGAGGAAGCAGUGGGGAAUUUUGGACAAUGGGGGAAACCCUUAUCCAGCCAUCCCGCGUGUAUGAGAAGGCCUUCGGGUUGUAAAGUACUUUUGGCAGAGAAGCGGUAUCUGCAGAAUAAGCACCGGCUAACUACGUGCCAGCAGCCGCGGUAAUUC